AGGAGAGGCAGAGGCACUUUGCCCGAGCCCAUGCUAAUGGGCAGCUUCCAAGGCAGAUGAAUCCAGUCUACCUCCAGCCUGCGGUGAUGUGUGUGGACUCCUAUGGGCCGGCACCCUUCCCUUGCGGAAUCGCUGUGGCACCCUCGCAUGUGGUCGGCCAUGUUAGUGGUGCUGUAGAGGCACCGCCCAUAAAGAUCUUUCAGCAUCCCACAGGCCUGGUGGAGGUACACAGCCAUCAGCCUUCUCCACAUGUGCUG